rnacentral:rRNA from 1 species
UUCCGGUUGAUCCCGCCGGACCUGACUGCUAUCGGAUUGAUACUAAGCCAUGCGAGUCUUUGUAGUAAUACAAGGCAGACGGCUCAGUAACACGUAGUCAACCUACCCUAUGGACGAGAAUAAUCUCGGGAAACUGAGCAUAAUUCUUGAUAGAUCAUAAUGCCUGGAAUGGUUUAUGGUUAAAAUGAUUCGUCGCCAUAGGAUGGGACUGCGGCCUAUCAGCUUGUUGGUGAGGUAAUGGCCCACCAAGGCGAUUACAGGUACGGGCUCUGAGAGGAGAAGCCCGGAGAUGGGUACUGAGACACGGACCCAGGCCCUAUGGGGCGCAGCAGGCGAGAAAACUUUGCAAUGUGCGAAAGCACGACAAGGUUAAUCCGAGUGAUUUCUGCUAAAGAAAUCUUUUGCCAGUCGUAAAACCGCUGGUGAAUAAGGGGUGGGCAAGUUCUGGUGUCAGCCGCCGCGGUAAAACCAGCACCUCAAGUGGUCAGGAUGAUUAUUGGGCCUAAAGCAUCCGUAGCCGGCUUUGUAAGUUUUCGGUUAAAUCCAUGUGCUCAACGCAUGGGCUGCCGAAAAUACUGCAUAGCUAGGGAGUGGAAGAGGUAGACGGUACUCAGUAGGUAGGGGUAAAAUCCUUUGAUCUAUUGAUGACCACCUGUGGCGAAGGCGGUCUACCAGAACACGUUCGACGGUGAGGGAUGAAAGCUGGGGGAGCAAACCGGAUUAGAUACCCGGGUAGUCCCAGCUGUAAACGAUGCAGACUCGAUGAUGCAUUGGCAUAAUAGCCAUUGCAGUGUCGCAGGGAAGCCGUUAAGUCUGCCGCCUGGGAAGUACGUACGCAAGUAUGAAACUUAAGGAAUUGGCGGGGGAGCACCACAAGGGGUGAAGCCUGCGGUUCAAUUGGAUUCAACGCCGG